rnacentral:rRNA from 1 species
CUAGCUACAGGCUUAACACAUGCAAGUCGAGGGGCAGCAUGGUCUUAGCUUGCUAAGGCCGAUGGCGACCGGCGCACGGGUGAGUAACACGUAUCCAACCUGCCGUCUACUCUUGGACAGCCUUCUGAAAGGAAGAUUAAUACAAGAUGGCAUCAUGAGUCCGCAUGUUCACAUGAUUAAAGGUAUUCCGGUAGACGAUGGGGAUGCGUUCCAUUAGAUAGUAGGCGGGGUAACGGCCCACCUAGUCUUCGAUGGAUAGGGGUUCUGAGAGGAAGGUCCCCCACAUUGGAACUGAGACACGGUCCAAACUCCUACGGGAGGCAGCAGUGAGGAAUAUUGGUCAAUGGGCGAGAGCCUGAACCAGCCAAGUAGCGUGAAGGAUGACUGCCCUAUGGGUUGUAAACUUCUUUUAUAAAGGAAUAAAGUCGGGUAUGGAUACCCGUUUGCAUGUACUUUAUGAAUAAGGAUCGGCUAACUCCGUGCCAGCAGCCGCGGUAAUACGGAGGAUCCGAGCGUUAUCCGGAUUUAUUGGGUUUAAAGGGAGCGUAGAUGGAUGUUUAAGUCAGUUGUGAAAGUUUGCGGCUCAACCGUAAAAUUGCAGUUGAUACUGGAUAUCUUGAGUGCAGUUGAGGCAGGCGGAAUUCGUGGUGUAGCGGUGAAAUGCUUAGAUAUCACGAAGAACUCCGAUCGCGAAGGCAGCCUGCUAAGCUGCAACUGACAUUGAGGCUCGAAAGUGUGGGUAUCAAACAGGAUUAGAUACCCUGGUAGUCCACACGGUAAACGAUGAAUACUCGCUGUUUGCGAUAUACUGCAAGCGGCCAAGCGAAAGCGUUAAGUAUUCCACCUGGGGAGUACGCCGGCAACGGUGAAACUCAAAGGAAUUGACGGGGGCCCGCACAAGCGGAGGAACAUGUGGUUUAAUUCGAUGAUACGCGAGGAACCUUACCCGGGCUUAAAUUGCAGAUGAAUUACGGUGAAAGCCGUAAGCCGCAAGGCAUCUGUGAAGGUGCUGCAUGGUUGUCGUCAGCUCGUGCCGUGAGGUGUCGGCUUAAGUGCCAUAACGAGCGCAACCCUUGUUGUCAGUUACUAACAGGUUCCGCUGAGGACUCUGACAAGACUGCCAUCGUAAGAUGUGAGGAAGGUGGGGAUGACGUCAAAUCAGCACGGCCCUUACGUCCGGGGCUACACACGUGUUACAAUGGGGGGUACAGAGGGCCGCUACCACGCGAGUGGAUGCCAAUCCCCAAAACCUCUCUCAGUUCGGACUGGAGUCUGCAACCCGACUCCACGAAGCUGGAUUCGCUAGUAAUCGCGCAUCAGCCACGGCGCGGUGAAUACGUUCCCGGGCCUUGUACACACCGCCCGUCAAGCCAUGGGAGCCGGGGGUACCUGAAGUGCGUAACCGCGAGGAGCGCCCUAGGGUAAAACUGGUGACUGGGGC